UACGGGAGGCAGCAGUGGGGAAUAUUGCACAAUGGGCGAAAGCCUGAUGCAGCUAUGCCGCGUGUAUGAAGAAGGCCUUAGGGUUGUAAAGUACUUUCAUCGGGGAGGAAAAACAAAACUAAUAAUUUUAUUUCUUGACGUUACCCGAAAAAGAAGCACCGGCUAACUCCGUGCCAGCAGCCGCGGUAAUACGGAGGGUGCUAGCGUUAAUCAGAAUUACUGGGCGUAAAGAGCACGUAGGUGGUUUUUUAAGUCAGAUGUGAAAUCCCUGGGCUUAACCUGGAACUGCAUUUUGAAACUGAAAUACUAGAGUAUCGUAGAGGGAGGUAGAAUUCUAGGUGUAGCGGUGAAAUGCGUAGAUAUCUGGAGGAAUACCUGUGGCGAAAGCGGCCUCCUAAACGAAUACUGACACUGAGGUGCGAAAGCGUGGGGAGCGAAACAGGGAUUAGAUACC
rnacentral:rRNA from 1 species